rnacentral:rRNA from 1 species
UACGGGGGGAGCAAGCGUUGUUCGGAUUUACUGGGCGUAAAGGGCGCGUAGGCGGCCACCGCAAGUCGGUUGUGAAAUCUCUGGGCUUAACCCAGAAAGGUCAACCGAUACUGCGGGGCUAGAGUGCAGAAGGGGCAACUGGAAUUCUCGGUGUAGCGGUGAAAUGCGUAGAUAUCGGGAGGAACACCAAUGGCGAAGGCAGCUCGCUGGGACGUUACUGACGCUGAGACGCGAAAGCGUGGGGAGCAAACAGG